rnacentral:sRNA from 3 species
AGGCGACUUAGCCUGCAUUAAUGCCAACUUUUAGCGCACGGCUCUCUCCCAAGAGCCAUUUCCCUGGACCGAAUACAGGAAUCGUGUUCGGUCUUUUUUU